UACAGAUUUCUCCGAGAAAACCAUCAUUGUAAUAGCAGAUACUGUGCAGAUAAAAAUAUCAUGUAUUUUCGAGUGUGCCUACCGAUUCUGUUUUACUUUUUCUUAUGUGUACUAACUGCUGAAUGGGAAUCAGAAGAUUUAAACACCCGAUCCUACAAAUGCCAUUGUCUGGACUGUACCACAAAUAAUUAUUGUGCCAGCAACGCUACUUGUGUGACAGGAUGGUUUGGGCCCGGCUGCCACUACCAGGACCUGAUUCAUUCCCUUGAACUGCAAACUGAUUCAGACAAAACAAUAUAUCUGAGCGAUGGCAACGAC